rnacentral:rRNA from 1 species
AUUGAACGCUGGCGGCAGGCUUAACACAUGCAAGUCGAACGAGUGGCGGACGGGUGAGUAAUGUCUGGGAAACUGCCUGAUGGAGGGGGAUAACUCCUGGAAACGGUCGCUAAUACCGCAUACCAUCAGAUGUGCCCAGCUGGGAUUAGCUUGUUGGUGGGGUAACGGCUCACCAAGGCGACGAUCCCUAGCUGGUCUGAGAGGAUGAGCGGCAAGACUGGAACUGAGACACGGUCGAGACGCAUACGGGAGGAAGCAGUGGGGAAUAUUGCACAAUGGGCGCAAGCCUGAUGCAGCCAUGCCGCGUGUAUGAAGAAGGCGUUAGGGUUGGAAAGUACUUUCAGCGGGGAGGCGUUACCCGAAGAAGAAGCACCGGCUAACUCCGUGCCAGCAGCCGCGGUAAUAC